rnacentral:rRNA from 1 species
AGACGUCUACAUUAGAUACCCGUGUAGUCCCAGCCCUAAACGAUGCGCGUUAGGUGUAUCGGUGACCACGAGUCACCGAGGUGCCGAAGGGAAACCGUGAAACGUGCCGCCUGGGAAGUACGGUCGCAAGGCUGAAACUUAAAGGAAUUGGCGGGGAGCACCACAACGGGUGGAGCCUGCGGUUUAAUUGGACUCAACGCUGGGAAGCUCACCGGAUAAGACAGCGGAAUGAUUGCCGGGCUGAAGACCCUGCAUGACCAGCUG